GAUGAACGCUGGCGGCGUGCCUAAUACAUGCAAGUCGAGCGAACGGACGAGAAGCUUGCUUCUCUGAUGUUAGCGGCGGACGGGUGAGUAACACGUGGAUAACCUACCUAUAAGACUGGGAUAACUUCGGGAAACCGUAGCUAAUACCGGAUAAUAUUUUGAACCGCAUGGUUCAAAAGUGAAAGACGGUCUUGCUGUCACUUAUAGAUGGAUCCGCGCUGCAUUAGCUAGUUGGUAAGGUAACGGCUUACCAAGGCAACGAUGCAUAGCCGACCUGAGAGGGUGAUCGGCCACACUGGAACUGAGACACGGUCCAGACUCCUACGGGAGGCAGCAGUAGGGAAUCUUCCGCAAUGGGCGAAAGCCUGACGGAGCAACGCCGCGUGAGUGAUGAAGGUCUCCGGAUCGUAAAACUCUGUUAUUAGGGAAGAACAUAUGUGUAAGUAACUGUGCACAUCUUGACGGUACCUAAUCAGAAAGCCACGGCUAACUACGUGCCAGCAGCCGCGGUAAUACGUAGGUGGCAAGCGUUAUCCGGAAUUAUUGGGCGUAAAGCGCGCGUAGGCGGUUUUUUAAGUCUGAUGUGAAAGCCCACGGCUCAACCGUGGAGGGUCAUUGGAAACUGGAAAACUUGAGUGCAGAAGAGGAAAGUGGAAUUCCAUGUGUAGCGGUGAAAUGCGCAGAGAUAUGGAGGAACACCAGUGGCGAAGGCGACUUUCUGGUCUGUAACUGACGCUGACGUGCGAAAGCGUGGGGAUCAAACAGGAUUAGAUACCCUGGUAGUCCACGCCGUAAACGAUGAGUGCUAAGUGUUAGGGGGUUUCCGCCCCUUAGUGCUGCAGCUAACGCAUUAAGCACUCCGCCUGGGGAGUACGACCGCAAGGUUGAAACUCAAAGGAAUUGACGGGGACCCGCACAAGCGGUGGAGCAUGUGGUUUAAUUCGAAGCAACGCGAAGAACCUUACCAAAUCUUGACAUCCUUUGACAACUCUAGAGAUAGAGCCUUCCCCUUCGGGGGACAAAGUGACAGGUGGUGCAUGGUUGUCGUCAGCUCGUGUCGUGAGAUGUUGGGUUAAGUCCCGCAACGAGCGCAACCCUUAAGCUUAGUUGCCAUCAUUAAGUUGGGCACUCUAAGUUGACUGCCGGUGACAAACCGGAGGAAGGUGGGGAUGACGUCAAAUCAUCAUGCCCCUUAUGAUUUGGGCUACACACGUGCUACAAUGGACAAUACAAAGGGCAGCGAAACCGCGAGGUCAAGCAAAUCCCAUAAAGUUGUUCUCAGUUCGGAUUGUAGUCUGCAACUCGACCACAUGAAGCUGGAAUCGCUAGUAAUCGUAGAUCAGCAUGCUACGGUGAAUACGUUCCCGGGUCU
rnacentral:rRNA from 1 species